AUAAACGCUGGCGGCGUGCCUAACACAUGCAAGUCGAACGGAGUUGUUUCUUUCACUAUGGGUUUCUGAUAAAAGAUCAGAAGUUUAUAGUGAAAGAAAUAACUUAGUGGCGGACGGGUGAGUAAUGUGUGAGCAACUUGCCUUUCAGAGGGGGAUAACAAAGGGAAACCUUUGCUAAUACCGCAUGACGUAGAAGAACCGCAUGGUAAUUCUAUCAAAGGAGAAAUCCGCUGAAAGAUGGGCUCACAUCUGAUUAGAUAGUUGGUGAGGUAACGGCCCACCAAGUCAACGAUCAGUAGCCGGACUGAGAGGUUGAACGGCCACAUUGGAACUGAGAUACGGUCCAAACUCCUACGGGAGGCAGCAGUGGGGAAUAUUGGGCAAUGGGCGAAAGCCUGACCCAGCAACGCCGCGUGAAGGAAGAAGGUCCUCGGAUUGUAAACUUCUGUCUUAUGGGAAGAAAAUGACGGUACUAUAGGAGGAAGCCACGACUAACUACGUGCCAGCAGUCGCGGUAAUACGUAGGUGGCGAGCGUUAUCCGGAAUUAUUGGGUGUAAAGGGUGCGUAGGCGGGAUGUAAAGUCAGAUGUGAAAUACCGUGGCUUAACCACGGGGCUGCAUUUGAAACUUAUGUUCUUGAGUUAAGUAGAGGCAAGUGGAAUUCCCAGUGUAGCGGUGAAAUGCGUAGAUAUU
rnacentral:rRNA from 2 species